CAUUAACCCAUUUCUCUGACGUCAGUCUAUUGUUCUAACAGUGGAUUAUUUUUUAGGAAUCCACUGAUCACCAUGUUAACUUAAGAUAACUUAUGUCAUAACUUUAAGCUUUUAACUUAUGAAAUGUAAUCUUCUCAAAAACGAAUGACUGAUGAGAGGUUCGAACCCGCGCGUAUUUUCGUCAGUGAAGAUAGUAGUCUAUGCAUGACAC
rnacentral:lncRNA from 1 species